AUUGAACGCUGGCGGCAUGCCUUACACAUGCAAGUCGAACGGCAGCAUGGAGAGCUUGCUCUCUGAUGGCGAGUGGCGAACGGGUGAGUAAAGCAUCGGAACGUACCGUGUAGUGGGGGAUAACGUAGCGAAAGUUACGCUAAUACCGCAUACGCACUGAGGUGGAAAGCAGGGGAUCGCAAGACCUUGCGCUAUACGAGCGGCCGAUGUCGGAUUGGCUAGUUGGUAGGGUAAAGGCCUACCAAGGCGACGAUCUGUGGCGGGUCUGAGAGGAUGAGCCGCCACACUGGGACUGUGACACGGCCCAGACUCCUACGGGAGGCAGCAGUGGGGAAUUUUGGACAAUGGGGGCAACCCUGAUCCAGCCAUGCCGCGUGAGUGAAGAAGGCCUUCGGGUUGUAAAGCUCUUUCGGCCGGGAAGAAAUCGCACAGGCUAAUACUCUGUGUGGAUGACGGUACCGGCAUAAGAAGCACCGGCUAACUACGUGCCAGCCGCCGCCGUAA
rnacentral:rRNA from 1 species